rnacentral:lncRNA from 10 species
UGACAUCAGUGGCCUGGCCUGGAGGGGACCUUGAAAGCUGUUCUUUGGACCCAGCAAAGCCCCACCGUGGUUGGAACGUGGGUCUCUGAGUGACUGCGUGGAGAAGAACCACUACCCUCUGCCCAAUGUAUUGGUGACAUCAGUGAGCUGUAAACUGUUAUUGGACUAAGCCAUCAAGAUUUGGGCGUUUGUUUGUUACCACAGCAACACCUGCUUUGCACGGACUAAUACAUCAUGUUCACAGACACUGCUGAUGUGUUUCACCAGAUUUAGUUUUCUCCUGAUGGUUUCUGCAGCGGGUUCUGGAGCUGUGUUCCUACCUCAAUACCUACCCUAGCAUCAAAGUCCCUGGUGGGAAAGCAAUGCUUUCUCACAUUAUGAAGAUGGAAAAGAAUAUCGUCAGGGAGAACAUCACCAGCCCAGAAAAUUGGCUGUCAGCUCCAGGC